UACAUGGGGUGCAAACGUUGCUCGGAAUUACUGGGCGUAAAGCGCGUGUAGGCGGCCAUCUAAGUCGGGCGUGAAAUCCCACGGCUCAACCGUGGAAGUGCACUCGAAACUGGAUGGCUAGAGUCCUGGAGAGGAAGGUGGAAUGCUUGGUGUAGAGGUGAAAUUCGUAGAUAUCAAGCGGAACACCGGUGGCGAAGGCGGCCUUCUGGACAGUGACUGACGCUGAGACGCGAAAGCGUGGGGAGCAAACAGG
rnacentral:rRNA from 1 species